AAUGCAGACUGACCAAUACACACAUGUAUCGACACAUACUCCGGGGUGCCUUCACAGGUCGGUGGUAUGGGAUACAUGGAGGCUCAAC
rnacentral:sRNA from 1 species